rnacentral:rRNA from 1 species
GGGGAAUAUUGGACAAUGGGCGCAAGCCUGAUCCAGCCAUGCCGCGUGAGUGAUGAAGGCCUUAUGGUUGUAAAGCACUUUAAGCGAGGAGGAGGCUCUUUUGGUUAAUACCAAGAUGAGUGGACGGUACUCGCAGAAUAAGCACCGGGUAACUCUGUGCCAGCAGCCGCGGUAAUACAGAGGGUGCGAGCGUUAAUCGGAUUUACUGGGCGUAAAGCGUGCGUAGGCGGCUUUUUAAGUCGGAUGUGAAAUCCCCGAGCUUAACUUGGGAAUUGCAUUCGAUACUGGGAAGCUAGAGUAUGGGAGAGGAUGGUAGAAUUCCAGGUGUAGCGGUGAAAUGCGUAGAGAUCUGGAGGAAUACCGAUGGCGAAGGCAGCCAUCUGGCCUAAUACUGACGCUGAGGUACGAAAGCAUGGGGAGCAAACA